rnacentral:hammerhead_ribozyme from 1 species
AAGUCACUGACGAGUCUUGUGUAGACGAAACGCGCGUCUGGCGU